rnacentral:rRNA from 1 species
UACNAUAGCCGUUGUUUCUUGGAUCUCCNAAUACUACAUGGAUAACUGUGGUAAUUCUAGAGCUAAUACAUGCGUACAUGCAUCAACUGGUUUCAGCCGGGCGAUGUGCAUUUAUUGGUACAGAACCAUCCGGCUUCGGCCGUUCAUUGGUGAAUCUAAAUAACUGAGCGGAGCACACACUCUUGCAGUGGUGCCAGUUCUUUCAAGUGUCUACCUUAUCAACUUCCGACGGUAGUUUAUGUGCCUACCGUGGUUGUAACGGGUAACGGAGAAUCAGGGUUUGACUCCGGAGAGGGAGCCUGAGAAACGGCUACCACUUCUAAGGAAGGCAGCAGGCGCGCAAAUUACCCAUUCUCAGCACGAGGAGGUAGUGACGAGAAAUAGCAAGGCGGUGCCCAACGGGUGCCGUCAUUGCAAUGAGUACAAUUUAAAUCCUUUAACGAGGAUCUAGUCGAGGGCAAGUCUGGUGCCAGCAGCCGCGGUAAUUCCAGCUCGGCUAGCAUAUAUCAAUGUUGCUGCUAAAAAGCUCGUAGUUGGAUCUGGCGUUUAGCGGCGGGUGCACCCAGUCGGGUGNNNCUCGUUCGCGGCGCAUUUUUCUAGUCGGUGGGCGUCGGUGUCAUUCAUUUGGCUGCCGUCGUCUGCCGACNAGUUUACUUUG